UACGUAGGGUGCAGGCGUUAAUCGGAAUUACUGGGCGUAAAGCGUGCGCAGGCGGUUUCUUAAGUCAGAUGCGAAAUCCCCGGGCUUAACCUGGGAACUGCGUUUGAAACUGGGAGACUUGAGUGUGGCAGAGGGGGGUGGAAUUCCACGUGUAGCAGUGAAAUGCGUAGAUAUGUGGAGGAACACCAAUGGCGAAGGCAGCCCCCUGGGUCAACACUGACGCUCAUGCACGAAAGCGUGGGGAGCAAACAGG
rnacentral:rRNA from 1 species